GACGAACGCUGGCGGCGUGCUUAACACAUGCAAGUCGAACGGUAAGGCCCUUCGGGGUACACGAGUGGCGAACGGGUGAGUAACACGUGGGUGAUCUGCCCUGCACUUCGGGAUAAGCCUGGGAAACUGGGUCUAAUACCGGAUAGGACCACUGCCUGCAUGGGUGGUGGGGGAAAGCUUUUGCGGUGUGGGAUGGGCCCGCGGCCUAUCAGCUUGUUGGUGGGGUGAUGGCCUACCAAGGCGACGACGGGUAGCCGGCCGGAGAGGGUGACCGGCCACACUGGGACUGAGAUACGGCCCAGACUCCUACGGGAGGCAGCAGUGGGGAAUAUUGCACAAUGGGCGCAAGCCUGAUGCAGCGACGCCGCGUGAGGGAUGACGGCCUUCGGGUUGUAAACCUCUUUCAGCACCGACGAAGCGCAAGUGACGGUAGGUGCAGAAGAAGGACCGGCCAACUACGCGCCAGCCGCCGCCGUAA
rnacentral:rRNA from 1 species